GCCCUGGGCCAGGGUCCGCGGCCGGGUUUGCGCCCUCCUUUCCCGCCCUGGGCCUGGCCGAGCCGCCUCUCCCUCUCGAUCCCGGGCGGAGGGUGAAGAGCCGGAAGUCGGCUUUCUGCGACUGAUCCGGGGACGGGGAAGGAAAGGGGCCGGUAGGCUGGCGAGGCGGAAGGAGACAGUUUCUGGUCGCAGUGCACCUUUUAAAGGUCCCCAUUUGUUUUGCUUUUGCUGUUUUGAAAAGUCCGCCCAAAGCAGCCCGCUCUCCGAUUGGAUACUGGUCGAGCGAUUAGAACGCGGAGCAGCUGAUGCAACCUCGAAUGCGGACUGGCUGGCCGAUUCGUCUUCGAGCCCUCUGAUUGGCUUUCGUCUUAUCCGGAGCUUCUAUCUUCCAAGGGGCCUUAGCAACUCUGGGGCCCGGAUUGCGCAUGCGUGAAGCUCCGCUGGCGGAGAGAGCUGACCCUGGGGUCCAGGUCUUGGCGGCCGCCGCCGCGGGUCCCUGCGGUGUCCCCCUCCUGCCCCCAGAGAGCUGUGGGAGGGGGACAGCCUUUAUUCCGUGCUGCCGGAAGCCUGUUCAAAGAUGAGAAUAAGAAUAAAACAAGAAAGCUUGCUAGGUGGUGUUCAGUUUCCUGGUCUUGGCAGACUCUUUUCAGUACAGGAGAAAAGAAGGAUCCAGUGGUCCCAAACAGAGCCCCUUGUCCACUCAGUCCACUUACCUCUCUAAGAUAAAGGAGAUGGCGAUCAUUAAAAAAUAUUGGUCAACU